rnacentral:rRNA from 1 species
GCCCAUGGCCAUGCCAUCCUGAAUACGCCCGAUCCCAUCUGAUCUCAGAAGCUAAGCAGGGGUCGGGCCUGGUUAGUACUUGGAUGGGAGACCACCUAGGAAGACCGGGUGCUGUAGGUG